rnacentral:rRNA from 1 species
UACGUAGGUGGCAAGCGUUAUCCGGAAUUAUUGGGCGUAAAGCGCUCGCAGGCGGUCCUUUAAGUCUGAUGUGAAAGCCCACGGCUCAACCGUGGAGGGUCAUUGGAAACUGGGGGACUUGAGUGCAGAAGAGGAGAGUGGAAUUCCACGUGUAGCGGUGAAAUGCGUAGAGAUGUGGAGGAACACCAGUGGCGAAGGCGACUCUCUGGUCUGUAACUGACGCUGAGGAGCGAAAGCGUGGGGAGCGAACAGGAUUAGAUACCCUGGUAGUCCACGCCGUAAACGAUGAGUGCUAAGUGUUAGAGGGUUUCCGCCCUUUAGUGCUGCAGCUAACGCAUUAAGCACUCCGCCUGGGGAGUACGGUCGCAAGACUGAA